rnacentral:rRNA from 1 species
GAUGAACGCUGGCGGCGUGCCUAAUACAUGCAAGUCGAGCGAACGGACGAGAAGCUUGCUUCUCUGAUGUUAGCGGCGGACGGGUGAGUAACACGUGGAUAACCUACCUAUAAGACUGGGAUAACUUCGGGAAACCGGAGCUAAUACCGGAUAAUAUUUUGAACCGCAUGGUUCAAAAGUGAAAGACGGUCUUGCUGUCACUUAUAGAUGGAUCCGCGCUGCAUUAGCUAGUUGGUAAGGUAACGGCUUACCAAGGCAACGAUGCAUAGCCGACCUGAGAGGGUGAUCGGCCACACUGGAACUGAGAGACGGUCCAGACUCCUACGGGAGGCAGCAGUAGGGAAUCUUCCGCAAUGGGCGAAAGCCUGACGGAGCAACGCCGCGUGAGUGAUGAAGGUCUUCGGAUCGUAAAACUCUGUUAUUAGGGAAGAACAUAUGUGUAAGUAACUGUGCACAUCUUGACGGUACCUAAUCAGAAAGCCACGGCUAACUACGUG